rnacentral:rRNA from 1 species
AUGAACGCUGGCGGCGUGCCUAAUACAUGCAAGUCGAGCGAACAGACGAGGAGCUUACUCCUUUGACGUUAGCGGCGGACGGGUGAGUAACACGUGGAUAACCUACCUAUAAGACUGGGAUAACUUCGGGAAACCGGAGCUAAUACCGGAUAACAUGUUGAACCGCAUGGUUCAACAGUGAAAGACGGUCUUGCUGUCACUUAUAGAUGGAUCCGCGUCGCAUUAGCUAGUUGGUAAGGUAACGGCUUACCAAGGCAACGAUGCGUAGCCGACCUGAGAGGGUGAUCGGCCACACUGGAACUGAGACACGGUCCAGACUCCUACGGGAGGCAGCAGUAGGGAAUCUUCCGCAAUGGGCGAAAGCCUGACGGAGCAACGCCGCGUGAGUGAAGAAGGUCUUCGGAUCGUAAAACUCUGUUAUUAGGGAAGAACAAAUGUGUAAGUAACUAUGCACGUCUUGACGGUACCUAAUCAGAAAGCCACGGCUAACUACGUG